UUUGGUUAAGUUAGAAAGGGCGCACGGUGGAUGCCUUGACACUAGGAGUCGAUGAAGGACGGGACUAACGCCGAUAUGCUUCGGGGAGCUGUAAGUAAGCUUUGAUCCGAAGAUUUCCGAAUGGGGAAACCCACCAUACGUAAUGGUAUGGUAUCCUUAUCUGAAUACAUAGGGUAAGGAAGACAGACCCAGGGAACUGAAACAUCUAAGUACCUGGAGGAAGAGAAAGCAAAUGCGAUUUCCUGAGUAGCGGCGAGCGAAACGGAACAUAGCCCAAACCAAGAGGCUUGUCUCUUGGGGUUGUAGGACAUUCUAUACGGAGUUACAAAGGAACGAGGUAGACGAAGCGACCUGGAAAGGUCCGUCGUAGAGGGUAACAACCCCGUAGUCGAAACUUCGUUCUCUCUUGAAUGUAUCCUGAGUACGGCGGAACACGUGAAAUUCCGUCGGAAUCUGGGAGGACCAUCUCCCAAGGCUAAAUACUCCCUAGUGAUCGAUAGUGAACCAGUACCGUGAGGGAAAGGUGAAAAGCACCCCGGAAGGGGAGUGAAAGAGAUCCUGAAACCGUGUGCCUACAAAUAGUCAGAGCCCGUUAACGGGUGAUGGCGUGCCUUUUGUAGAAUGAACCGGCGAGUUACGAUCCCGUGCGAGGUUAAGCUGAAGAGGCGGAGCCGCAGCGAAAGCGAGUCUGAAUAGGGCGUUUAGUACGUGGUCGUAGACCCGAAACCAGGUGAUCUACCCAUGUCCAGGGUGAAGUUCAGGUAACACUGAAUGGAGGCCCGAACCCACGCACGUUGAAAAGUGCGGGGAUGAGGUGUGGGUAGCGGAGAAAUUCCAAUCGAACCUGGAGAUAGCUGGUUCUCCCCGAAAUAGCUUUAGGGCUAGCCUUAAGUGUAAGAGUCUUGGAGGUAGAGCACUGAUUGGACUAGGGGUCCUCAUCGGAUUACCGAAUUCAGUCAAACUCCGAAUGCCAAUGACUUAUCCUUAGGAGUCAGACUGCGAGUGAUAAGAUCCGUAGUCAAAAGGGAAACAGCCCAGACCGCCAGCUAAGGUCCCAAAGUGUGUAUUAAGUGGAAAAGGAUGUGGAGUUGCUUAGACAACUAGGAUGUUGGCUUAGAAGCAGCCACCAUUUAAAGAGUGCGUAAUAGCUCACUAGUCGAGUGACUCUGCGCCGAAAAUGUACCGGGGCUAAAUACACCACCGAAGCUGCGGAUUGAUACCGAAUGGUAUCAGUGGUAGGGGAGCGUUCUAAGGACAGUGAAGUCAGACCGGAAGGACUGGUGGAGUGCUUAGAAGUGAGAAUGCCGGUAUGAGUAGCGAAAGACGGGUGAGAAUCCCGUCCACCGAAUGCCUAAGGUUUCCUGAGGAAGGCUCGUCCGCUCAGGGUUAGUCAGGACCUAAGCCGAGGCCGACAGGCGUAGGCGAUGGACAACAGGUUGAUAUUCCUGUACCACCUCUUUAUCGUUUGAGCAAUGGAGGGACGCAGAAGGAUAGAAGAAGCGUGCGAUUGGUUGUGCACGUCCAAGCAGUUAGGCUGAUAAGUAGGCAAAUCCGCUUAUCGUAAAGGCUGAGCUGUGAUGGGGAAGCUCCUUAUGGAGCGAAGUCUUUGAUUCCCCGCUGCCAAGAAAAGCUUCUAGCGAGAUAAAAGGUGCCUGUACCGCAAACCGACACAGGUAGGCGAGGAGAGAAUCCUAAGGUGUGCGAGAGAACUCUGGUUAAGGAACUCGGCAAAAUGACCCCGUAACUUCGGGAGAAGGGGUGCUUUCUUAACGGAAAGCCGCAGUGAAUAGGCCCAAGCGACUGUUUAGCAAAAACACAGCUCUCUGCGAAGCCGUAAGGCGAAGUAUAGGGGGUGACACCUGCCCGGUGCUGGAAGGUUAAGGAGAGGGGUUAGCGUAAGCGAAGCUCUGAACUGAAGCCCCAGUAAACGGCGGCCGUAACUAUAACGGUCCUAAGGUAGCGAAAUUCCUUGUCGGGUAAGUUCCGACCCGCACGAAAGGUGUAACGAUUUGGGCACUGUCUCAACCAGAGACUCGGUGAAAUUAUAGUACCUGUGAAGAUGCAGGUUACCCGCGACAGGACGGAAAGACCCCGUGGAGCUUUACUGUAGCCUGAUAUUGAAUUUUGGUACAGUUUGUACAGGAUAGGCGGGAGCCUUUGAAACCGGAGCGCUAGCUUCGGUGGAGGCGCUGGUGGGAUACCGCCCUGACUGUAUUGAAAUUCUAACCUACGGGUCUUAUCGACCCGGGAGACAGUGUCAGGUGGGCAGUUUGACUGGGGCGGUCGCCUCCUAAAGUGUAACGGAGGCGCCCAAAGGUUCCCUCAGAAUGGUUGGAAAUCAUUCGUAGAGUGCAAAGGCAUAAGGGAGCUUGACUGCGAGACCUACAAGUCGAGCAGGGACGAAAGUCGGGCUUAGUGAUCCGGUGGUUCCGCAUGGAAGGGCCAUCGCUCAACGGAUAAAAGCUACCCCGGGGAUAACAGGCUUAUCUCCCCCAAGAGUCCACAUCGACGGGGAGGUUUGGCACCUCGAUGUCGGCUCAUCGCAUCCUGGGGCUGUAGUCGGUCCCAAGGGUUGGGCUGUUCGCCCAUUAAAGCGGUACGCGAGCUGGGUUCAGAACGUCGUGAGACAGUUCGGUCCCUAUCCGUCGUGGGCGUAGGAAAUUUGAGAGGAGCUGUCCUUAGUACGAGAGGACCGGGAUGGACGCACCGCUGGUGUACCAGUUGUUCUGCCAAGGGCAUAGCUGGGUAGCUAUGUGCGGAAGGGAUAAGUGCUGAAAGCAUCUAAGCAUGAAGCCCCCCUCAAGAUGAGAUUUCCCAUAGCGUAAGCUAGUAAGAUCCCUGAAAGAUGAUCAGGUUGAUAGGUUCGAGGUGGAAGCAUGGUGACAUGUGGAGCUGACGAAUACUAAUAGAUCGAGGACUUAACCAUAUAA
rnacentral:rRNA from 1 species